rnacentral:rRNA from 1 species
UCUACGGGCGGCAGCAGUGGGGAAUAUUGCGCAAUGGGGGCAACCCUGACGCAGCAAUACCGCGUGAGUGAAGAAGGUUUUCGGAUCGUAAAGCUCUGUUAUUGGGGAAGAAGAAUGACGGUACCCAAUGAGGAAGUCCCGGCUAACUACGUGCCAGCAGCCGCGGUAAUACGUAGGGGACAAGCGUUGUCCGGAAUGACUGGGCGUAAAGGGCGCGUAGGCGGUCUAUUAAGUCUGAUGUGAAAGGUACCGGCUCAACCGGUGAAGUGCAUUGGAAACUGGUAGACUUGAGUAUUGGAGAGGCAAGUGGAAUUCCUAGUGUAGCGGUGAAAUGCGUAGAUAUUAGGAGGAACACCAGUGGCGAAGGCGGCUUGCUGGACAAAUACUGACGCUGAGGUGCGAAAGCGUGGGGAGCGAACAGGAUUAGAUACCCUGGUAGUCCACGCCGUAAACGAUGAAUGCUAUGUGUUGGGGAAACUCAGUGCCGCAGUUAACACAAUAAGCAUUCCGCCUGGGGAGUACGACCGCAAGGUUGAAACUCAAAGGAAUUGACGGA